CAUUGGAGUAAAAGAGAAAGAUCCCCGCAAUUUGCGGAUUUCGGUUUUCGCGCCGACAAGUCUGGCAAGGGCCUUAGUGCGUAUGUGUAUGUAUGAACGAGUACAGGUUGAUUCACGAAAGCUGGCACGAAUGGAAUUAACGAAACUUUCAUUGUAUGACACCUGUAUUGGUAUACAAUACAGUCAAAGCCACUAUUUUAUUGGUUAAUACACACAUAGAUAUUUUCAUUCACUCAUUCAUUUUAUUCGUGCCAGCUCUAGUGAAUCGACCUGUAAUUAAUGGCAUUAUGACACAAAAUUAAUGUAAUUAAAUUUAUGAACAAUGUAGUACGUAAUUUAAGUAACUUUCCUAUACUAUAGUAAUGUCCUUGAUAUGAUAUUGUUAUGUUUAAUUUGGUAAGAAAUAUAUUCAACCGUUUUGUAUUA